AUUGAACGCUGGCGGCAGGCCUAACACAUGCAAGUCGAACGAGUGGCGGACGGGUGAGUAAUGUCUGGGAAACUGCCCGAUGGAGGGGGAUAACUACUGGAAACGGUAGCUAAUACCGCAUACCAUCGGAUGUGCCCAGAUGGGAUUAGCUUGUAGGUGAGGUAACGGCUCACCUAGGCGACGUACCCUAGCUGGUCUGAGAGGAGGACCAGCCACACUGGAAAUGAGGCACGGGCCAGAAUGCUACGGGAGGCAGCAGUGGGGAAUAUUGCAAAAGGGGCGAAAGCCUGAUGCAGCCAGGCCGCGUGUAGGAAGAAGGCCUUCGGGUUGUAAAGUACUUUCAGCGGGGAGGCGUUACCCGAAGAGGAAGCGCCGGCUAACUCCGUGCCAGCAGCCGCGGUAAUAC
rnacentral:rRNA from 1 species